UACGUAGGGUGCAAGCGUUGUCCGGAAUUAUUGGGCGUAAAGAGCUCGUAGGCGGCUCGUCGCGUCGGCUGUGAAAACCUGGGGCUCAACCCCGGGCCUGCAGCCGAUACGGGCGAGCUAGAAUUCGGUAGGGGAGACUGGAAUUCCUGGUGUAGCGGUGAAAUGCGCAGAUAUCAGGAGGAACACCGGUGGCGAAGGCGGGUCUCUGGGCCGAUAUUGACGCUGAGGAGCGAAAGCGUGGGUAGCAAACAGG
rnacentral:rRNA from 1 species